rnacentral:piRNA from 1 species
UCUCAUUGGAGGUGUCUAAGUUAAGG